rnacentral:rRNA from 1 species
AACGAACGCUGGCGGCAUGCCUAACACAUGCAAGUCGAACGAGACCUUCGGGUCUAGUGGCGCACGGGUGCGUAACGCGUGGGAACCUGCCCUUAGGCUCGGAAUAACUCCCCGAAAGGGGUGCUAAUACCGGAUAAUGUCUUCGGACCACAGAUUUAUCCCCUUUGGAUGGGCCCGCGUUGGAUUAGCUAGUUGGUAGGGGAAAAGCCUAUCAAGGCGACGAUCCAUAGCUGGUCUGAGAGGAUGAGCAGCCACACUGGGACUGAGACACGGCCCAGACUCCUACGGGAGGCAGCAGUGGGGAAUAUUGGACAAUGGGCGAAAGCCUGAUGCAGCAAUGCCGGGUGAGUGAUGAAGGCCUUAGGGUUGUAAAGCUCUUUUACCCGGGAUGAUAAUGACAGUACCGGGAGAAUAAGCUCCGGCUAACUCCGUG